CACGUAGAAGACUAGUGUUAUUCAUCUUUAUUAGGUUUAAAGGGUACCUAGACGGAAAAUCAAGCUAUAAUAAGUACUAAUUUUCUAGAGUUUUAUGAAAGAAGGGGUGAAUUUCCAGAGGAAAGUUGAUAUUUUGUGAUACUGGAAGGACGGGUAACGGUGAAGGCUACCUUUUAUGUAAAAACUGACGUUGAGGGACGAAGCCUUGGGUAACGAGAAGG
rnacentral:rRNA from 1 species